AUGAACGCUGGCGGCGUGCCUAAUACAUGCAAGUCGAGCGAACGGACGAGAAGCUUGCUUUUCUGAUGUUAGCGGCGGACGGGUGAGUAACACGUGGAUAACCUACCUAUAAGACUGGGAUAACUUCGGGAAACCGGAGCUAAUACCGGAUAAUAUUUUGAACCGCAUGGUUCAAAAGUGAAAGACGGUCUUGCUGUCACUUAUAGAUGGAUCCGCGCUGCAUUAGCUAGUUGGUAAGGUAACGGCUUACCAAGGCAACGAUGCAUAGCCGACCUGAGAGGGUGAUCGGCCACACUGGAACUGAGACACGGUCCAGACUCCUACGGGAGGCAGCAGUAGGGAAUCUUCCGCAAUGGGCGAAAGCCUGACGGAGCAACGCCGCGUGAGUGAUGAAGGUCUGCGGAUCGUAAAACUCUGUUAUUAGGGAAGAACAUAUGUGUAAGUAACUGUGCACAUCUUGACGGUACCUAUCAGAAAGCCACGGCUAACUACGUG
rnacentral:rRNA from 1 species